rnacentral:rRNA from 1 species
UACGGAGGAUUCGAGCGUUAUCCGGAUUUAUUGGGUUUAAAGGGUGCGUAGGCGGAUUGGUAAGUCAGCUGUGAAAGCUUACGGCUCAACCGUGAAAUUGCAGUUGAUACUGUUGGGCUUGAGUAUACAUGAGGUGGGUGGAAUUUGUGGUGUAGCGGUGAAAUGCUUAGAUAUCACAAAGAAUUCCAAUUGCGAAGGCAGCUCACUGGGGUAUAACUGACGCUGAUGCACGAAAGUGUGGGGAUCAAACAGG